rnacentral:rRNA from 1 species
AUGCGCCAUCAUCUCCUAGCGCUCACCAUCUUGGGGUACAUUGACAAGGUCUACCACGGAAUAGCACCCUUCGUCUUCCCCACCAACCCCAACCAACGUGCCAUGCCUCGGUUCUGGGCCGCCUACAUUGCUAACAAGAUAGUUGCACCACGGUGGAAUAUGUUUGGGAGGAAGACAGACAAGAAGAAAGAUGAAGGAAGGGAGGAGAUUUUUGCAUCAGAGGAGACACAACAACGGGCACUGACGGAAUGCUGCAGGGGUAAGCCUUUCUUCGGCGGAGACAAUGUCAGGUAUGUUGAUGUCAUUUUGGGUGGUAUGGUCAGUACGAUGCAACCAACCGGGGAGCUCUAUGGUAGGGUGUUCCAUGACGCCACCAAGACCCCGCUUUUGCUCGUAUGGAUGAUGGAUCACUUUAGCGAGCUAGACCCUGCCAAGAUGGUUCUUCCAGACAUCGGUAGGUUGGCCGCGUUUGCCAAGAUGAAACAGGCCCAGAAGGCUCUAAAUUAA